GCCUGGGUGGCUCAGUCGGUUGAGCGUCCGACUUCGGCUCAGGUCAUGCAUGAUCUCACAGUUCGUGGGUUCAAGCCCCGCAUCAGGCU
rnacentral:tRNA from 1 species